rnacentral:rRNA from 1 species
GAUGAACGCUGGCGGCGUGCCUAAUACAUGCAAGUCGAGCGAACGGACGAGAAGCUUGCUUUUCUGAUGUUAGCGGCGGACGGGUGAUUAACACGUGGAUAACCUACCUAUAAGACUGUUAUAACUUCGGGAAACCGGAGCUAAUACCGGAUAAUAUUUUGAACCGCAUGGUUCAAAAGUGAAAGACGGUCUUGCUGUCACUUAUAGAUGGAUCCGCGCUGCAUUAGCUAGUUGGUAAGGUAACGGCUUACCAAGGCAACGAUGCAUAGCCGACCUGAGAGGGUGAUCGGCCACACUGGAACUGAGACACGGUCGAGACUCCUACGGGAGGAAGCAGUAGGGAAUCUUCCGCAAUGGGCGAAAGCCUGACGGAGCAACGCCGCGUGAGUGAUGAAGGUCUUCGGAUCGUAAAACUCUGUUAUUAGGGAAGAACAUAUGUGUAAGUAACUGUGCACAUCUUGACGGUACCUAAUCAGGAAGCCACGGCUAACUACGUG